rnacentral:pre_miRNA from 1 species
UUUGUACUCCCUCCAUCCCAAAAUUCUUAUCUUAAAUUUGUCUAAAUAUGGAUGUAUCUAGUUACAUUUUAGUGUUAGAUACAUUCGUAUCUAAACAAAUGUAAGACAAGAAUUUUGGGACGGAGGGAAUACUAC